CCUGAGAAACCCAAAAGAUCGAAUGGGGAGAUUCAUCGUCAGCGAUCCCGGUACGUGUGCGGUUCGUGAUGCCGGGGACUUCGGUCUCAUGGCACGCGUCCGCAUGGCUUUACUGCCGGGUGUCGUCGGCGUGCACUUCUCCCCUAGUAGGACGUCGCGACCCGUUGGGUGUCGGUCUACGGCCCGGGAUGUCGCCUGUCAUGUGUCGCGCCUCACGGCGCCAUGUGUGGCAGACCCCCGGUUGUCUGACCAGCUGCUCGGCGGUACUCGCACGGUAUCGAGUCGCAAAUAUUCGAACUGCGUCCGGCCCGCCGCAAGCGAGGCCAGUGUUUUCCCGGAUGUACGGACCUAGCGCCGUCACCGGGCCUGGCCAGCUGCUGGUUGGCGGUGUCCUGGGACUGACUCUAAAUAAUUAUGAUACCGGUCGGCGACGCUACUGCUUUGGGUACUUUCAGGA
rnacentral:rRNA from 1 species